CGUGAAGAUUUAUCAAAUCAAGUAGAAGGAAGAGCAUUGAGGACAAAAUCUACAGAGGGAAUUUGUAGGUUUUUGCUUGAAGAUGUCAUUUGCCGUUACGGGUGCGUAGGAAAAAUCACUGCAGAUCGUGGAGAAUUAAAUGCACAAGAAGCUCGUAAGUUCUUUGAAAAAUGUGGAGUUAAACUAUCACUGACUACUGCUUAUAAUCCGGAAGGGAAUGCGAAAAGCGAAC
rnacentral:lncRNA from 1 species